rnacentral:rRNA from 1 species
UGAGUAACCUGCCCUUCACUCUGGGAUAACUCCGGGAAACCGGGGCUAAUACUGGAUACGACUCGAACAGGCAUCUGUAUCGGGUGGAAAGAUUUAUUGGUGGAGGAUGGACUCGCGGCCUAUCAGCUUGUUGGUGAGGUAAUGGCUCACCAAGGCGACGACGGGUAGCCGGCCUGAGAGGGCGAUCGGCCACACUGGGACUGAGACACGGCCCAGACUCCUACGGGGAGGCA